rnacentral:rRNA from 1 species
CCUACGGGCGGCAGCAGUGGGGAAUAUUGCACAAUGGGGGGAACCCUGAUGCAGCAACGCCGCGUGGGUGAAGAAGUACUCCGGUAUGUAAAGCCCUGUCAGCAGGGAAGAAAAUGACGGUACCUGACCAAGAAGCCCCGGCUAACUACGUGCCAGCAGCCGCGGUAAUACGUAGGGGGCAAGCGUUAUCCGGAUUUACUGGGUGUAAAGGGAGCGUAGACGGCAAGGCAAGUCUGGAGUGAACGCCCGGGGCCCAACCACGGGACUGCUUUGGAAACUGUGUUGCUGGAGUGCAGGAGGGGUAAGCGGAAUUCCGAGUGGAGCGGUGAAAUGCGUAGAUAUUAGGAGGAACACCGGUGGCGAAGGCGGCUUACUGGACUGUAACUGACGUUGAGGCUCGAAGGCGUGGGGAGCAAACAGGAUUAGAUACCCCGGUAGUC